rnacentral:lncRNA from 1 species
UUUUUUUCCAGGUAAUAGAAAGAAGGGAAAGCCCUAUGGAGUUGAAACACGUAUUAUAGAAGAUUGUUAAUGAUAGAAAUAACGAUGUGAAUGUAAAGGUAGAGUUCCGCAAUUGUAUUCCAGUUGGGUUGUAAACAAAUAGUAAAAGUCCAUAUUAAAUAUAUGAACUGCAUUUUGGAUGCAUAUGUAUAAAAUGUUAAUGGGCCUGAAUCCAUAAUUAUGAAUAGAAAGUGAGAUUUAAAUAAGUUAGGCUUACUACGGGCUUCGGGGGCCUUAAGCCCACCUAGGUCCUAGUGCCGGUCCGGUCCAUGGAAAUGGGUCGUGACAAUAUGCAUAUAUUUCUUUCUCUAAUGCACUGGGUAAGUAAUACUUCAUAAUAGCCAAAAUAAUUAUCAUUGUGAAUUUAUAUUAUCUGUUAAUUUCUUUUCUUUAUCAAAGUAAAAAAUAAUUUAUUAUUAUUUUCAUUAUAGUUGUACAUAGAUAUUAAUUUGUGGUUGAGGGUAGUAGGUUGGAGAUUGAUGAUGACUUGAUUUUCUUUUUUGGGAACUUAUUAAGGUUUUAAUAAUCUACAUUAUAAAUUAGAGACUGAAGGACUAAGCACAGGGAUUGAGUCUAAUUUUAUUUGAGAUCACUAUAUUAUAAAUAAAAUAGAAUUAAAUAUAUAAGAAGUAGCAUUGCGAUAAAGUCCAAUACAAAUUAAGCAAUUGAUUUAUUUUAAUCUAAACAAAAACUUAUGCUUUAAUAUUAUAUAGAUAAAAAGAUUAAAAGAGUACAAAUAUAUAACGAUCACAGUCAAUGUGCAAAGCGCGUCAUAAAAAAAACUAGUACCAUAUAUAAAAGUUGGAAUAGGGGG